CAGUAGCCGCGGUAAUACGUAGGUGGCAAGCGUUGUCCGGAAUUAUUGGGCGUAAAGGGCUCGCAGGCGGUUUCUUAAGUCUGAUGUGAAAGCCCCCGGCUCAACCGGGGAGGGUCAUUGGAAACUGGGAAACUUGAGUGCAGAAGAGGAGAGUGGAAUUCCACGUGUAGCGGUGAAAUGCGUAGAGAUGUGGAGGAACACCAGUGGCGAAGGCGACUCCCUGGUCUGUAACUGACGCUGAGGAGCGAAAGCGUGGGGAGCGAACAGGAUUAGAUACCCGUGUAGUCCCUGUCUCUUAUAC
rnacentral:rRNA from 1 species